AUACGUAGGGGGCGAGCGUUGUCCGGAAUGAUUGGGCGUAAAGGGCGCGUAGGCGGCCCGGUAAGUCUGGAGUGAAAGUCCUGUUUUUAAGAUGGGAAUUGCUUUGGAUACUGUCGGGCUUGAGUGCAGGAGAGGUAAGUGGAAUUCCCAGUGUAGCGGUGAAAUGCGUAGAGAUUGGGAGGAACACCAGUGGCGAAGGCGGCUAACUGGAACGAACCUGACGGUGAGGGACGAAAGCUAGGGGCGCGAACCGGAUUAGAUACCCGGGUAGUCCUAGCCGUAAACGAUGCGGACUUGGUGUUGGGAUGGCUUUGAGCCGCUUCGGUGCCGAAGGGAAGCUGUUAAGUCCGCCGCCUGGGAAGUACGGUCGCAAGACUGAAACUCAAAGGAAUUGGCGGGG
rnacentral:rRNA from 1 species